UUAAAAAAACUGCUGCCAACGCACGCCCCCACGACCUCUCGCCAACCCCCCUCCUCCUCCCCCUCCCAACGGACGCCACAGCAUGGGCGGGCCUCCGCACGCCGAUCCUCCCGCACCGUUCGCCGCCCCGCCGUUCCUCCGCAGCCGCGGGAGCCACCGCGCCGCCGCCCCGCCGUUCCUCCCGCUCCGUUCGCCGCGGGAGCCGCCGCGCCCUUCGCCGCCCAGCCAUUCCUCCUGCUCCAUCCACCGCGGGAGCCGCCGCGCCCUUCGCCGUCCCGUCGCAUGGUGGUCGGAGGGGUGAGAUGAUUGGCUCUGGUGGGUUCGGGCAUGUCUACCUCGGGAUGAAUCUGGACAUUGGCGAGCUCCUCGCAGUAAAGCAACUGCUAGGCUUUUGCGAUUUGGUGAUCUGGUUUGCACUUUCUACAGACAUGAAGUCAUUCGUUACACUAAGUCUCUCUCCUUUGUUUGAUUUUUUGUUCCAGCUUUGAUUGGAAGCACCAACACGACCCGGGAGAAAGCCAACUGAGUACCACUUCCCCAACCGAUCUGGUUACAAAUUUAGUUGUUGAGAUUUUUCUUCAUAUGAGGUGAUGAUUUGUGGCUUCUGUUUCUACAAUUAGCCGCAUAUAUAAGAUAAUUCAAGGAAGAAUUACAGCUCCUCAAGAACCUUUUGCACCCCAAUAUUGCAGGAGAGAAGGAGGACAAAAAGGCAUUGUGGAUACAUAUAUGAAGACCCAACGGAAGAAGCGAAGGGAGGAAUGCCAACAACAAGAGGCUGCAGCUAAAAGGUCAAGACUACAGAGUUGAAGAAGAGAUGCUACAAGUGCAAAGCUUGUGACCUUUUUCAAACAGUGGUGCAAUCCUGAUGUUAUCGACUUAAUUUUUCUCUUAAAUCAAGACUUUGCUCUUACUGGUUCCUUAACUUUUGCAUAAAGUUGAAUCAAGAAAUACAUUAAGUUUUAUUGUUAGAUGUUCUCCUAUACAAUUGCCAUUCCUUUAAUGCUCUUAUACAAUUACUAUCUUGAAUAAGGAUGUGACAUGUAUUAAUAUAUGUAUCCUGCUAAGUUUGCAAGACAGUUUUUGAUAUGUAACUUCAAAAUUAAAAUGACUUCCUUUCAUCACUUUCUGAAUGAGGAAAUUGGCGCAUCUCUAAUUGAUAUUUCAUCUUGAACAUUACUACAUUUAAUAGAAUUAUGAUUGAAUUGUAUUUUCGAAAGAACUUACAACCUGAAGAAGUAGAGAAACUUAGUGUCUACAGUAGUGUAAUAAAGAGCAAUUGCCUCUAAUGACUUGGUUUUCUCUAUACCUCACAUCACAUAGGAUGAUAGGGUCAAGCUUUCCACUUUUCCAGUGUGAGCUUAGAUGUUUGUUUGGUACUCCUUUUCUGUAAGUUCUUUAUAUAGGUCGAUGAAAUUAGGUUAAAGAGGUAGGAGAGGGGAGCAGGGAGGGGAUGGUGACCUCGUGGCAUGUACUCUGUAUGCCUGCAGAGAGAUUUAUUGUUUCUAGACACAUAAAACCCCCUUGAUACAUCGUUCUGGUUGCCAUCUGCGAGUUUCUGUAACAACAGAGUAAUUUAUUUGGAAGCAAUUGUUAUUGAGGUAAGAGUCUUUCUGGGUAGUUUGCCGCAAGUAUUUAACUUAUGAUUUCAGUUUGAGAUAUACAACCGGCAAUCUGUAAUCAAUACUUCUUAUCAGACAAUCUAGAUGGGUUAUAGAAUUUAUUUGCAAAUCUUGUACAUAAGCUUAAGAAUAUCCCUGCUACUUUGGGAUAUUGUGGUGUUAAAUGACCGCUUCAUCAAUCAUAAUCCGAGGUGGUGUUUGUCCAUCCAAUGGCGAAGAAUAUUACAACAGAGAACUGCACCACCAAGCAAAUUCACUCCAAACCAAAAUCUGAUAAGGCAUGUCGCGACGCUAGGAGGUGUUGUAGUGCUUGGUAGCCUGCCACAGUCCACAAGCAUAGAGCCAAAGUUGUGAGUGGGUUGUCUUUGGUCUAAGGUUUUUUAAAUGCAUCAGAAUUUAUGUUUGUUUGUAACCUGAAAUUUGCAGAUGGUUUCUGGCUGUAGCUACAAUUUUUUGGCAUCAUACGGCGGUAACACAAUAAGGUUCAGUUAUGUGUUCAUACAUUAAAAAAUUCUACGUACGAACUGACUGCAUCAGUUGUUUUGCUUCUCCUAUUCCCUUGAAAGGAUUGCUUGAUGAAAAGAUGUUUUGCUUUUGCAGCCUUAUUUCUUAUCUAAUUUCCGUAGUGGUGCUUAUGUAUAGUUGAUUAAUGAAUGGAACGACCAAGUAGGCUGAUGUCAAAUGCUUUUACAGAUCAGGGCAGAAUUGAUGCUGAUUUUAUAUCUUGAAGUUUUUAAAUCCUGUAACGAAACUAUUGCCAAUGCUUUGAGUAACCCCCUGGUUGUAGAGUAAGGGCUCGCUUAUAUUUUCAAUACAUACUUUUAAUUUUUAUCUUUUCCUUUUUCGGUAGCCCUUAAUAAUCACCGCUAAGUUCCAGUCUACAUAAUACGAAACAUAGAAGUAUGCAUUGCAUAAUUUUAGGCAGCAACAUGAAUUGUGGUUUAGGCAAGCAUAUAUUUGUCCUAGCGUUGUAUAUAUGGUGAGGCUUUUUCAAUAUGGUUGUUCUUAGAUAACUCGAUGAUAAUUACAAGUUGGUAAAUUCAGUUCUUAUUGGAGUCCUUUAUUUUUAUCCAAAACGAAAACAAUGGUAAUACCUUGUGUAACUUUGAUUCAAUAAAUAAAUUAUAUAAUUCAGAACCUAUUGUGGUAUAUGCCAAAAGGGUUUGGUGUAUACCAACAUGCAUCAAGUUUCUAUCAGAUGUCUCUUAAUUUGUGAAAUAUUGCACCAACGUUCAGCUCUGAAACUAUACUCAUUGCUCUGACGACAGUAAGAAUGUACAACACUAGGUUUGAUUUGGUUCGAAAUGCCUAAUUAAGUUCCAUCUUAAUAAUUUCUUACCUUUGCCUUGUGUAAAAAUGCAGUUGUGCGAUCCAUGUUUCAUCCUAUCGUGGAGAUCUCUCGAGCUGCAUUUUGUGGAAGCACAUGAAAAUGCAGGUUUUGAUUGAUGAAUUGGUUGACUUAGCACCCAUGAACUCGAGCUGAAAGGAAGUAGGCCUGUAACGAGCCAAGCCAUGCAAGAUACAAAUAAUUGUUGCCUUGGCAUUUAUCUCUUUCUUCAUGGUGUUUACAUUGUACUGUAAAUGCGGAACAAAUAUUGCGAUGUGAUAGAUGACAGUGAAAUGCAGAAUUUUGAGAGCUCAUAUGUGUGGGGUAGGUUGCCUUUGAUGCAGACCUGAAAUUAAAUAGGUAUGCAUUGACUCAUCAGGAGAGAAAUUUAUGUGAAUGGGUUUAA